rnacentral:rRNA from 1 species
GCUUAUACUCGACCGUCAGCGGCACGUGCGACCGCGCGUUUCGGCGCGCGGUCACGAAGCCCUGACGAGUAGGAGGGUCGCGGCGGUGAGCGCAGAAGGGCUGGCCGCGAGGCCGUCUGGAGCCGCCGUCGGUGCAGAUCUUGGUGGUAGUAGCAAAUACUCCAGCGAGGCCCUGGAGGACUGACGUGGAGAAGGGUUUCGUGUGAACAGCCGUUGCACACGAGUCAGUCGAUCCUAAGCCCUAGGCGAAAGCCGAUGUCGAUGCGGUGUGGAUUUAUAUUUUUUACGACGACGACGACGACGACGAAGAGCGAGAUAAAUUGUUAAUUCGUUUCUUUAACGACGUCGACKACGUCCACGUAUCAAGUCGAUCGAACACACCCAUCGGGCGAAAGGGAAUCCGGUUCCUAUUCCGGA